AACUAUGUUGGUUUAAUUCGAUGAUACGCGAGGAACCUUUACCUGGGAUUAAAUGUAGAGUGCUAUUUUUUAGAGAUAGUAAAUUCCCGUUCGGGCUUUCUGCAAGGUGCUGCAUGGUUGUCGUCAGCUCGUGCCGUGAGGUGUCGGGUUAAGUCCCAUAACGAGCGCAACCCUUAUCGUUAGUUGCCAGCUGGUAAAGCAGGGGACUCUAGCGAAACUGCCACCGUAAGGUGAGAGGAAGGUGGGAUGACGUCAAAUCAGCACGGCCCUUAUGUCCAGGGCUACACACGUGUUACAAUGGCCGGCACAGAGGGCAGCUACCUGGUGACAGGAUGCUAAUCUCGAAAACCGGUCUCAGUUCGGAUCGAAGUCUGCAACUCGACUUCGUGAAGCUGGAUUCGCUAGUAAUCGCGCAUCAGCCAUGGCGCGGUGAAUACGUUCCCGGGCCUU
rnacentral:rRNA from 1 species